AACUAAUUAGUAUAAAAUUAUACAUUUGUUUUGAAAACAAAAAAAGGGUUUCCAUUAGUUU
rnacentral:tRNA from 1 species